ACAAAAGGGAAAAAGGCGUGGCGGGCGCAAGCUCGUUUCACGUUCUGCUCCCGAAAAUCCUGUAUUCACCCCAAGUUCCUUAAAAAUUUCAAUAAAAAACUUUGCAAAAGACCACUUUAUUAAAGUGGCAUCUAAUUGCACAAAGCGA
rnacentral:misc_RNA from 1 species